rnacentral:lncRNA from 1 species
UCCUACAUCUAAAAAGAAAACCGACCCAACGUUGAGCUUUUAUUUUGAAAAAGUUAAAUUUUCUGUGUGACGGUCAUUCAAAAAUCACUGAUAAUGUUGUGGCAAACACGAGGGGGCACGGUGCAAGUCUGUGUGUAAUCACGAACUAGUAUUUUUAUAAUGAUAGAAGUGUAAAUGAGAAGUAGAUGUAAUUCACUAUCAGAGAAAUCAUGCAAUCUAAAUGCAAGAAAGAAGAUGCAACUCAACGAUGAUAAGGAAGGAAAAGUCGAGAGAGGAGAGACAGAGAGUGGGGCAGGAGGGGUAGGGUGGUAGCUGCUGAAACUGGAGUUACUAACUAACCCGAAAAACUCAACUCAUAUCAGCUGCGAGAUGUUAUCAGUAUAUUUAGUAGAUUUUGUUUUGGUGGCAUGUUGUUGUCCCUCCUUAUCUAAAAUUUUUAUUUUUAAACCGAAGCCAAGUGCCAAAAUCAACUCCUGAAUUCUUACUUAUGUGGGUGAAAUGACUCUCUGAAACAUUUGUGAAGUUUCUUAAAUAAUAAUGACUGCUCCAGAUUGUAGAGUUUCUGAUUACAUGCAAGUGUUUUGCUCAUGGAAAAGUGCCUCAAAAAGUAUAGCAGAUUGUAUCAAAAUUCAGAGGAAUAGUUCCAAAGUUUCUUUAGAUGAUGUCGUUGACUUUGAAAGAUGUGUACAAUUAUUUGCAAAUGAUAGUUCAGGAUUUGCACCUUGCACAAUCAAUUUAAAUUGGAAAAUAAUUGGAUGAUUACCAAAAUUGCCGUAGCUUCUGAGGCUAAAAUCUUUGAACUGUAUGGCUCGUGUGAGGAGUACAUAGGGACUCAUCAUGCUGAAUAUAUUGAUACUUUUGAAGAUAUGGAAGUAUUCUUAACUGAAAUGGAUGUUGCUCUAGCCAAUGAAUGUACAUUGAAGCUUGCCAAGACAAAAAAUAGAAACUGUAUGUGGGUAUAUGGAAUUUACAUCUCAGUUGCUGAGUUGAACCCCAGUUCAAUGAAACCAGGAUUGGACCUAAAUAAAGUAGAAGAACGUUUGAAAACGUCAAGCCAACCUUUGACAGACAAAGCAUUCAAAUUUUUCAAAGGUGAAUCGCUACCGGACUCCUAA